rnacentral:rRNA from 1 species
AUGCCACCCAGAAUUAAGGUGUUUAUGUGGUUGGCUCUUAGGAAUAGUAUACUUACCAAAGACAAUCUACUCCGUAGGGGGUGGAAAGGGGAUGAUAGAUGUCCUUUCUGUGGACGUAAAGAAAAUAUCAAUCACCUUUUUCUAUCUUGUUCAGUUGCUAGAUUGUUGUGGAACAUUUUGAAAUGUGCUUUCAAUUUGAGAAACAUUCCAGAAACUCUGGAUGCGACAAUGAAAACCUGGGUAAAGACCUUUGAAAAAGAUGAAAAGGGUUUGGUCAUGAUAAGCGUUUCAGCGAUAUGCUGGACUAUUUGGAAGCUUAGGAACAACAUUAUCUUUGAUAACAACAGGGUGAAUGAUCCUUGUGUACCUGUCAACUUGUUUCUCAAAAAUCUAAAUGAUUGGAAUAUUUUGCAGACAAACCCCGCAAGAAGUAAGAUGAUGAAGGCUGGAGUGAAGCAAGUAAGCGAGGUGGCGGAAGAAGUGUUCAAAGCAGCCCAUGGGUGGCGCCUGAAGACUGGGAGAAUCCUGGGGUGA